CCUGAAGGUUCUUGUUAUUUGGAUUGAGUUUAAGUUAUAAACCCCUUAACAAGUAUCAAUUUGGAGGGCAAGUACUGGUGCCAGCAGCCGCGGUAAUUACCAGCUCCAAUAGCGUAUAUUAAAGUUGUUGCAGUUAAAAAGCUCGUAGUUAAUCUUCUGUUAAUUUUUAUAUAUAAUAUCUCGAUAUUUAUAUAAUAUUAACAUAAUUCAUAUUACUUUUUAGUAUAUGAAACUUUACUUUGAGAAAAUUAGAGUGCUUAAAGCAGGCUAUUGCCUUGAAUACUCCAGCAUGGAAUAAUAUUAAGGAUUUUUAUUCUUCUUAUUGGUUCUAGAAUAAAAAUGAUGAUUAAUAGGAACAGUUGGGGGCAUUUGUAUUUAACAGUCAGAGGUGAAAUUCUUAGAUUUGUUAAAGACAAACUACUGCGAAAGCAUUUGCCAAGGAUGUUUUCAUUAAUCAAGAACGAAAGUUAGGGGAUCGAAGACGAUCAGAUACCGUCGUAGUCUUAACCAUAAACUAUGCCAACUAGAGAUUGGAGGUUGUUCCUUACUCC
rnacentral:rRNA from 1 species